rnacentral:misc_RNA from 1 species
UUUCCGUAGGUGAACCUGCGGAAGGAUCAUUCAUAAUAAAGUGUUUUAUGGCACUUUUUAAAAGUCCAUAUCCACCUUGUGUGCAAUGUUAGAUCUCGUCAAUCUUGGCGAGAUUUUUAUACAUCAACUCAUUCUUUAACUAAUUUGUCUGAAAAAUAUUAUGAAUACUUAAUUCAAAAUACAACUUUCAACAACGGAUCUCUUGGCUCUC